UACGUAGGGUGCGAGCGUUGUCCGGAAUUAUUGGGCGUAAAGAGCUCGUAGGCGGUUCGUCGCGUCGGCUGUGAAAACCCGAGGCUCAACCUCGGGCCUGCAGUCGAUACGGGCGGACUGGAGUUCGGCAGGGGAGACUGGAAUUCCUGGUGUAGCGGUGAAAUGCGUAGAUAUCAGGAGGAACACCGGUGGUGUAGACGGCUUACUGGACCACGACUGACACUGAGGCACGAAAGCGUGGGUAGCAAACAGG
rnacentral:rRNA from 1 species